UAAUUAAUCCUUUUCACAAGUUGAUUAAUUAGAUGCUAUGUGCAGUGAAUGAAAUGAAAGUAAGAGAGACAAAUGCAAUCACAAACACAAUGAUUUUAUAGUGGUUCGGAGCUAACCCUUGCUCCUACGUCCACUCUCCAAGCCUCACUUGGGAAUUUACUAUAACCUCUCGGAUUACAGCCGGUUGUUUUACAAGCUCACAACCCAACUUGUUGUUUUACGAGGUCACAACGAACUCGGUCGGUUUUUCCAGGCUCACCGACUAGAACCACCCCGAUUGUUUUCCUGGGAUCACAAUCGAACCUUUACACCGUUGGUUUCAACCUAGGCUCACCAACAAACCUAUACACCCUUGAUUCAAUCCCCUGAUUGAAUCAAGUAAAGACCAAAUGGAAAGAACAAAGACAAACAGAAAAAUAGAGCUUCUAAAAAGCAGAUAUACAGCGAUAUAAAUAAGAAAAAAGUUAAGAGCCCUCAAACAC
rnacentral:lncRNA from 1 species